ACGGAAUAGAUACCCGGGUAGUCCACGCCCUAAACUAUGUCAACUAGUUGUCGGGCCUUAUUGGGCUUGGUAAACGUAGCUAAACGCGUGAAAGUUGACCGCCUGGGGAGUACGGUCGCAAGAUUAAAACUCAAAGGAAUUGACGGGGACCCGCACAAGCGGUGGAUUAUGUGGAUUAAUUCGAUGCAACGCGAAAAACCUUACCUACCCUUGACAUGUCAGAAAGUUUUCAGAGAUGAAAUCGUGCUCGAAAGAGAAUCUGAACACAGGUGCUGCAUGGCUGUCGUCAGCUCGUGUCGUGAGAUGUUGGGUUAAGUCCCGCAACGAGCGCAACCCUUGUCAUUAAUUGCCAUCAUUUGGUUUGGGCACUUUAAUGAGACUGCCGGUGAUAAACCCGGAGGAAGGUGGGGAUGACGUCAAGUCCUCAUGGCCCUUAUGGGUAGGGCUUCACACGUAAUACAAUGGCGCGUACAGAGAGUUGCCAACUCGCGAGAGGGAGCUAAUCUCAGAAAGCGCGUCGUAGUCCGGAUCGGAGU
rnacentral:rRNA from 1 species